rnacentral:tRNA from 1 species
GGGCUGUAUGCGGCUAAAUUAAUUGACGGAAACCAAGCAUGUGAAGAGCCAUAAGCAGCGGACUGGCGGACGCGGGUUCAAUUCCCGCCGGCUCCACCA